UAGCUGAUCGCACGGUCUAAGCACCGGCGACAUAUCCUUCAAAUGUCUGCCUUAUCAACUUUCGAUGGUAGAUUAUGCGCCUACCAUGGUUGUAACGGGUAACGGAGAAUCAGGGUUUGAUUCCGGAGAGGGAGCCUGAGAAACGGCUACCACAUCCAAGGAAGGCAGCAGGCACGCAAAUUACCCACUCCCGGCACGGGGAGGUAGUGACGAAAAAUAACAAGCUGGUCUCAAUGAGUUCCGGCAUUGUAAUGGGAACAAUUUAAAUCAUUUAUCGAGGAUCUAUUGGAGGGCAAGUCUGGUGCCAGCAGCCGCGGUAAUUCCAGCUCCAAUAGCGUAUAUUAAAGUUGUUGCGGUUAAAAAGCUCGUAGUUGGAUCUAGGACAAGAACUACGGU
rnacentral:rRNA from 1 species